rnacentral:lncRNA from 1 species
GCGUUUUUUGUAUAAAGUGAGAGAGGCGAGUGAGAGAGCGAGAUCUGGGAGAGUGGCGAGUGAGAUCUGGGAGAGGGGAGAGAGGGGAACGAAAAUAUAUGUAUUUAUACAAUUUUCUCUCGCUUUAUACAAACACAAACGCACUUUAUACACUUGCGUUUGUAUAAAAAACGAGAGAGGCGAGGGAGAGAACGAGAGUGGCGAGCGAGAUUCACCAGGAGAGAGGUGAAAUAGCAACAGUUUGCUAUG